CAAAGGGUAGUUUAAAUAAAAUAUUAAUUUUGGGGAUUAAUGAUAGGAAUGUAAUUCUUUCCUUUGA
rnacentral:tRNA from 1 species